AUACUUACCUGGCAAGGGAGACCCCGUGAUCAAGAAGGCGGUUCACCCAGGGCGAGGCUCAGCCAUUGCACUCCGGCUGUGCUGACCCCUGCGAAUUUCC
rnacentral:snRNA from 8 species